GACGAAGAAGAGAUGAUGAAGAAAGAAGAUAUAAAAGUGAACGAGGAGGAGGAAAAGAUUAACAAAGGAAGAAGUACAUGGAUGGAAUAGAAAGAGCAAGGAGAUGGAGGAAGAGCUGCAUAUACAAAUGGCAAGAAAUACAGGUGUGUGGCUAAUCCAUGCUGGCCAGCGUCUGCAGGGCACCGCACGUAGGUGGAGUGUUUGAUGGGCUGCCUGAGUGAGAUCUAGUUUCAGUUCGGUUUCAGUCUUCACGUCAACAGCGCUGCCUACAAGAGACUUCCAACGUGUAGCACCAGCCAGGAACACAAGGUAUCCCAAUAAUGUUAACAUCCAAUUGUGUAGGACAUCGCAUGCCAAACGGUGUCUUUCCAGUAGAGGAGACUCCCAGUGGAAUCUUCUACUAGAGGACAUCAAAAGCACUACAUCAAAACCACUUUUUGAAAUUAAAUCAAAAGAGAUGUUCUUUGGAGUAACUUGAUAAACAUAUGUAUACUAUUUUAUUUAUUCAUUUAUUUAUUUAUUUAUUUAUUUUCAUUUUUUUUUUUGUAUGCAUAUGCUAUUGUUCAUAAAUGACUUAAUUAAUCGCUGUUAUGAUGUAUACUUCUUAUUUUCAUUUAUUUAUUUUCUUGUUACGAUUGUCGUUAUUAUUUCUAUAAUCUUAACUGUUGUACGUAUUUACUUAACUGUUGUACGUAUUUACUUAAUUGUUGUUCGUAUUUACUUAAAUGUUGUACGUAUUUACUUAACUGCUGUACGUAUUUACUUAACUGUUGUACGUAUUUACUUAACUGUUGUACGUAUUUACUUAACUGUUGUACGUAUUUACUUAACUGUUGUACGUAUUUACUUAACUGUUGUACGUAUUUACUUAACUGUUGUACGUAUUUAAUUAACUGUUGUUCGUAUUUACUUAACUGUUGUACGUAUUUACUUAACUGUUGUACGUAUUUAAUUAACUGUUGUUCGUAUUUACUUAACUGUUGUACGUAUUUACUUAACUGUUGUACGUAUUUAAUUAACUGUUGUUCGUAUUUACUUAACUGUUGUACGUAUUUACUUAACUGCUGUACGUAUUUACUUAACUGCUGUACGUAUUUACUUAACUGUUGUACGUAUUUACUUAACUGUUGUUCGUAUUCAUUACUAGUCAUAAAUUCCAAUUGUACUGUUUGCUAAAUCUAUUUCCAUUGUUCUGCAUCUUCUUUGCUAUGUACUUACUUAAAUGUUCGUGUCAUCAUUACUUCUAACUAUACCCUACGAGGAUUUUUAGUUUAUUUAUUAUUAUUAUUGUUAUUGUUAUUAUUAUUAUUAUUGUUAUUGCUAUUAUUAUUACUACUAUUAUU